rnacentral:rRNA from 1 species
AAACUUUCAACAACGGAUCUCUUGGUUCCGGCAUCGAUGAAGAACGCAGCGAAAUGCGAUACGUAAUGUGAAUUGCAGAAUUCAGUGAAUCAUCGAGUCUUUGAACGCACAUUGCGCCCCCUGGUAUUCCGGGGGGCAUGCCUGUCNGAGCGUCAUU